GAUGAACGCUGGCGGCGUGCCUAAUACAUGCAAGUCGAGCGAACGGACGCGAAGCUUGCUUCUCUGAUGUUAGCGGCGGACGGGUGAGUAACACGUGGAUAACCUACCUAUCAGACUGGUAUAACUUCGGGAAACCGGCGCUAAUACCGGAUAAUAUUUUGAACCGCAUGGUUCAAAAGUGAAAGACGGUCUUGCUGUCACUUCUAGAUGGAUCCGCGCUGCAUUAGCUAGUUGGUAAGGUAACGGCUUACCAAGGCAACGAUGCAUAGCCGACCGGAGAGGGUGAUAGGCCACACGGGAACGGAGACACGGUCCAGACUCCUACGGGAGGCAGCAGUAGGGAAUCGUCCGCAAUGGGCGAAAGCCUGACGGAGCAACGCCGCGUGAGAGAUGAAGGUCUUCGGAUCGUAAAACUCUGUUAUGAGGGAAGAACAGAUGUGGAAGGAACUGUGCACAGCUUGACGGUACCUAAUCAGAAAGCCACGGCUAACUACGUG
rnacentral:rRNA from 1 species